rnacentral:rRNA from 1 species
GACGAACGCUGGCGGCGCACCUAAGACAUGCAAGUCGAACGGUCUUCUUCUCUUCGGGGAAGGGGAUAGUGGCGGACGGGUGAGUAACACGUAAGGGACCUGCCCUAGAGUGGGGGAUAGCCUGGGGAAACCGAGGGUAAGCCCGCGUACGGCCGAUCGCAUAGGGGCGAUCGGGGAAAUCGGCCCGUAAGGGCGGAGCUCUGGGAGGGCCUUGCGGCGGAUUAGCUAGUUGGGGGGGUAGUGGCCCACCAAGGCGACGAUCCGUAGCUGGUCUGAG